rnacentral:tRNA from 1 species
GGGGCCAUGGCGCAAUUGGUAGCGCACCUGCUUUGCAAGCAGGGGCUCUCACAACUUCAUAUCCCCA